GCCUAUGGCCGUGCAACCCUGAACAAGCCCUAUGUCUGGUCUUGGAAGCUAAGCAGGGUUGGGCCUGGUUAGAACUUGGAUGGGAGACCACUUAGGACGACCAGGUGUUGUAGGCA
rnacentral:rRNA from 1 species